GGUCCUGGGAAGGGAAGCCGGGGAAUGGACACCAGGACAGGAGCUCUGGGCGGGCAGGGGGGAGGGGGAGGGGGAGGAGGGAGAGGCAGGGACACCUGCCUGGGGGAGGUGGGCUCUGAGUCCUGGGACAGAGACGCGGCCCCCAAGGCCACCCGGCUGUGACGGCCAGGCCCCGACGACCUGGCCAUCCCCACCUCCCAGGGCUGCCCCCGCCUAGUCUCCUGGGCACCUGGCCUCCUCCAGGAAUAUACUCGAGUUAUCCAGGCAAUGGCUGCCUAUCACUCGGCAGGAGCAGGUCCAGGCGGAGGUCCGGGGGUCGGCGUGUGCGCAGUCACCUGUGGCACAGGAAUGAAGCUCUCCCGGAUCUCCUGUUGUGGGGAGCGAGGACAUGCACGUCACACGUCUGGAAACAGCGCCCCCACCCCUCAGCCCCGUUGCUCCGUGACCACAGCGUGGAGAAAGGAAACCAUUAUCCAGCUCUUUGCAGGACUCUCAGCCUCCAGCCCUGCGGAUCAGCUCCUAGACUCAGCGUCCCUGAGCUUGCUCGGCCCCCACUGCAUCCGGCCUGCCUGGGGGCUGGCGGCCAGCACCGUCCCGCGGGGCACUGGCUGGACCGCCGUGCCGGCCACCUCGCCUGGGCUUCACGGCUCACGGCGGUGGAGGUGCAGCGCCCCCAGGCCUAUCGCUUUCCACAGCCCAUGUCUCCAGCACAGCCUCUGCUUGUGGAAAGUACUGGGGAGCAUUUGGGAUGUGGGUCUGGGCCCCAACCUCGCACUUUGUAUUUGUAGCCAGAGCAUGUGACUGUGUCUUGGCGUUUUGCCUUUUCUUGCUUUUACAAAUUUUUAAAUAAAUGAGCAUAAAUCAGA